GACUUGUGUGUGCUUGCAAUUAGCGGUCAGUUCCCAAAAGGGUUCUCCGACAUGCGUUGCAGGUGCCGUCAAACCUUCAACUGAAUCGUACCUGGACUUCAUUGUCUGGGUGCUGUCAUUCGGUUGAUCAUUUACUGUGAGAAAAUUAGAGUGUUCAAGGCAGGCAUUAUUGCAAUUGAAUAUGUUAGCAUGGAAUAAUAAGAUAAGGCUUCGGCUUUCUCUUUGUUGGUUUCUAAGGCCGAAGUAAUGAUUGAUAGGGACAGUUGGGGGUGCUAGUAUUCAGCGGCCAGAGGUGAAAUUCAUGGAUUCGCUGAAGACUAACUUAUGCGAAAGCAUU
rnacentral:rRNA from 1 species